CCAGGCGCCUCCAGCCUCGGAAAUCCAGCUUUCCGGGGGACCGGGGACGAGGCUCCCGGCCUGGGGGGCGAGCAGGGCAGAGGCUGGCGGCGGCGGCGGCGCGGCUCGGCUCCGCGGCGCUCGGCUCAGCUGCGCGCAAGGGCCGGGGCGCGGCGUCCCAUCGGGGCGGCCCCGUCCGAGGAGCCGGGCGGCGAGCUGCGGGGUGGGGGGAGGAAGUCAGGCUGCAGGCCGCGGGGGACAGAGGGCUGGGCCGGGGGCAGGAAGCUGCGGCGCGGGCUCCCCCCUCGGCGAUUUUCUAACUUCUGCUGUCGCUCCCCGAGCGCGCAAACCGCAUUUCGCCGCCGCCGCUACGCACCCUGCCCCCGGGGGGCGGGCUGGAGGGAGGCGGCGGGCGCCGAGAGCCGGCCGGGGGUCCGCCGCAGCCAUGGCGCUGCGCGGAGGGGGCCGGCGACCCGCUUCACCUGCCGCAGAGGGGGCGGCGGGCGCCGUUUCACCUGCCGGAGCGGGAGGCGGCCGAGGCGAGGCAGAGGCGGCGGCGCGCGCGGCGGCGCCUCCGGGUCCUAGAACCGCAUGCUCCCGCUCUUCCGAGCCGGGGAUCGGCGGGGUCUGGAGAGGAGCUGAGGAUCAGAGGGAACCAUCUGCAAAGGAGAGCCCCAAAGCAUGGCGAGGAGCGCAGAUCCAGGCCAACCGAGACCCCCGGACCUGUCCCACCCUGGACCAACUCUGCGCCCAUACCGACAUCCCCAGGGUUUUAUAACGAGGGCGCCUAUGGGAAAAGGCAAGGUACGGGAAUCUGGGGGCCACCAAGGCGGUCUCAAGGAGAAGCGCAGGGGUUGGGGAACAGAGGAUUAAACCCAGCAUCCAGGCUGAGAAAGGAGCAGGCUCCGCAGAGGAGAAAAAAAAAUAUCUCCUUGACGCUGUCCCCUCCAGGGACGUAGGGUGGCCUCUCACCUUGGUGAAUAACAAUCCCUGAAGUCUAGCAAUUACAGAAAUGCUUCCAGAGGUCUUCUUUCAUUCAUCCCUACAGUGACUGGGGAAGGUAGGUAUUGACAUCUUCAUUUAGAGAUGGGAAAACAGACUCAGGGUGGUUAGUUGACUUGCCCAAGGGCACACAACUAAUAAAGGUCAGAAACAGCCCUACUCUCUGCCCA
rnacentral:lncRNA from 1 species